rnacentral:rRNA from 1 species
AUUGAACGCUGGCGGCAUGCCUUACACAUGCAAGUCGAACGGCAGCGCGGGGCAACCUGGCGGCGAGUGGCGAACGGGUGAGUAAUAUAUCGGAACAUACCCUAGAGUGGGGAUAACGUAGCGAAAGUUACGCUAAUACCGCAUACGCACUAAGGUGGAAAGUGGGGGAUUCGCAAGAACCUCAUGCUCAUGGAGUGGCCGAUAUCUGAUUAGCUAGUUGGUGAGGUAAAGGCUCACCAAGGCAACGAUCAGUAGCUGGUUUGAGAGAACGACCAGCCACACUGGAACUGAGACACGGUCCAGACUCCUACGGGAGGCAGCAGUGGGGAAUUUUGGACAAUGGGGGCAACCCUGAUCCAGCAAUGCCGCGUGUGUGAAGAAGGCCUUCGGGUUGUAAAGC